rnacentral:misc_RNA from 1 species
CGACCCUCGGGACCGCUCCCCCGUAGGGGGGAGGCCCGGUCCCGGCGUUGGGCUAGCGAGCCGAGCCGCCUGGCGGCAAGCUCGCGGCCCGCAGACCAGCGGCGGCAGCGCCCGCGACGUCCCCUGCGUAGUAGCUCAAAACACUCGCAUUGGACUCCUGGCGCGGCCCGCCUCGAAACCCCCCUUCUCAACA